rnacentral:lncRNA from 1 species
CAAAUAAAGCAGGGAAAGGGGAUAGUGACUAGGGGUAGGAGUGGCAGAGUGCUAUGUUAGAAAAGGCUUUGCUGAAGAGGUGACAUUUGAGUCCCAAAUGAAUUGACGUUGAGAGCCACACAGCAAUCUGGGAAGGCAAACACUCUGCAGUGGGAACACGCUCAGCUUGGGCAUGCAACAGCGGAGACGAGCAGACUGGAGCAGAAUCCCAUCUCAACCAUCAGUCCCUCAGAGGACAGUUCUCCGACCUCCCUUACUACUAGGCGGCACCUCUCUGGCCUUCCUAAUGCCUCUGUCCCAGCAACCACGCCCUCACCCAUUCUUCUUAGGGCUCCUUUACAUUCCUUUGUAUGAUUGUGUGACCCUCUGUCUCCCCUCGUGGGCUGCAAGCUUCAAGAGGGCCAGGACUCUAUUGCUUUUGUUAUUGUGCCUCUUGCCCCAAUGUGGUGCGCAACACAUGGGAAACUCAGUAACUACUGUUGAACCAAGAUGCAAAUGAGGAGUACAGACGGAAGAAAGAGGGAGGCUUCUUCAGGAGCUCACAUGAAUCACUGCUAUGGAGACUCUGCCAAAAGAGCUCAGGGAAGAGGAAGCCCUUUCAAGGGCACUCAUUCUAGCAAUUGGAUUGGUGCAGGCUUGUGCCCUAAUACUGGGUAUAAGAUUGCAAGUAUUAUGCUUUGCCAGUUGUGGGUCUAACCUUUAAGAGGCCUGGCAGUUUCUAAUUCCAGCCUUGACCCUGAGCCUCCAUCAAAGAAGUUCAGGCUAUUCUGCUGGAGAGAAAGACCACGCAGAGGAGCACUGGGAUGCCAGAUAUGUGAGUGAAGAAACUUCUGUUGAAUAAUCAGCCCAGUGAAGCCUUCAGAUGACUUCUGCCUCAGCUGCCAUCUAACUACAAAUGCUGGGAUUCUCACCCUUGGAUCUUGAAGCAGAAAGACUCUUUGGUCCCCAGCUCCUAGAACCCCUCCAGCGCAGGCAAUCUGAUAUUUGUGGCACCCCUACUACGAUCCUGGCUAAAAAGGCAAGACACUAAAGACGUGCUUACCAAGUGUUGCAGUUGCUGAGGCCAGCACCAUCUCAGACCCUAGAAGACGGCUGGUGAUGUUAACAGAAAAACAACGAUCUGGGGAGAAGGUGAAGUGAGCUGAUUUGCCCAGAGCCGUAUGUUUUACCAGCACAAUUUUGAAUACAGCAGGUCAAUCCACUAGUCCUUUCUUCUCUCUCUGCUUCUCUACCUGUGCAAUGGAAAUGAUCACAGCAGCCUCAUAAUGGGAUUGUGAGGAUUUGGGAGUUAAAUAGGAACUCUUGCUAGCUCAAAGAUCGUCCUCUAUGUUCCAUAAAACAGCCUUGAUUCUAGGGCACAGGGAUAAUGACAGAGAGUACAUUUUCUAUGAGCCUUGCAUAGGUGUUAUAGUCGCGUCUGGUUUUCAAUUAGCACUCAAUCAGGAGUGCCCUUGGAACUCCCCUGGCUGGUUCUGUAGUUCAUGUGAGCUCUGUUAGGGGACAGGAAGGUACAGUUAAAACUCAAAGGUGAGGACAAGUAAACAGGGCCGAGAGUUCUGCAAACUAUUGCUGUAUGGAGGGCCAGCCACUUUAUUAAUGUGUAUAUGGAAGAAACCAGAUCAGAUGGUCCUCUGACACAUGAGCCUUUUGUUUAUUAGCAUCCUGUCUCUUGGCGUGUUUGUAAAAAUAUAUGUGAGAGCCACGGGUGCUCAGAAUUUAUGACUCUGCAGGGUUAGAUCUAUGUCCACUCCCAGCCCUGGUUCACUGGGAAUCAGGCUCAUCCCUACGAUAGCAAAGUUGGGGGAUGAAAAAUGAGAGCUAUCUUUAUAAAAUCUUGACUGUGGCAUCUUUCUGAAAAGAUUGCAUCCGGGAGAGCACAACCAACACUGCUUUUGCAAUUUCACGCCCGUAAUGGGUGUGUUGUAUGGGGAAGGGUGGCAGGGGCAGUGUUUGCUUCCAAGUGGUAGUGAUAGUGAAACAAACUCAUGGUCUCUCCCUGGUUUCAAUCAACCCUCCCACCAUUGCCAUUUGUCUUCCUAAAACAAAAAUCUCAUGUGUCAUUGCCUUGCGUAUGAACCUUUGAUGGCUCCUGUUUGCUUUUGGAGUUAGAAUUUCUUCAUAUGGCUCAGCACAGCCUGCCCUUCUGAUGUCAUCUCCUGGCAUACCCCCUUACACACUCCAUAAUCUAACUAGCUAGGAUGAUUCGGGAUUAAAUGAGGCAGUCCCCAUGGUGGCUCAGAUUGUAGGCUUUAGAUCCAGAUUCUGGCUUUGAAUCCAGGAUCUCACUAGUUGUGUAGUCUCAGAUAAGUUACUUACCCUUCUGUGCUUCAGUUUGCCCAUCUAUAAAAUAGGGGACAUAAUAUCAUAAGGCGUCUGUGGACAGUAAAUGAAUUGAUACAGAGUAUGUAAAGCAGUGCCUGACACAUAGCAAAUAUCAUGGAAGAUUGGGUAGCAUUAUUAUUAUUUAUGUUGAUCUGAAUGUGGCAUUCUCUUUGACACCUCUGUGCCUUUGUACGUGCAGUUUCCGUAGCCUGUAAUGCCCUCUCCCUCUUCUAUGCCUAAGGCUAACACCUUCAACACCUCUCUCAAGUGUCAUAACUUCUUUGCCUCUCUCUUUGCAUCUCCCACUGUCUGACACAGCACAGCAGAUUAUUGCAGCUUUUUAGAAACAAGUCUUUCUCCCCCUAUAAGAUUGUGACUUUCCUGAGGGCAAUGGUUAUCUUCAUUUUUAUUUAUUUACUUAUUUAUUAUUUUUUGCUGAAGAAGAUUAGCCCUGAGAUAACAUCCACGCCAGGCUUCCUCUACUUUAUAUGUGGGUUGCUGCUACAGCAUGGCUGACAUGUAGUAUAGGUCUGCACCUGGGAUCUGAAUGAGCCAACCCAGGCUGCUGAAGUGGAGUGCACUGAACUUAAUUACUAGGCCAUGGGGCCUAGUUAUCUUCAUUUUUGUUAUCUCUAGGUUCCAGAAGUUUUGGUGUGAAACAGGCCUCAGAAAUUAUUGAUGGAUCCACAAAAAUAUUUGUAUAAAAAUGUUCAUAGCAGCGUUAUUCAUAAUAGCCAAAACGUGAAAACAAUGCAAAUGUCUGUCAACUGAUGAAUGGACAAACAAAUGUGGUAUAUUUAUCUCAUAGAAUAUUACUCACACAUAAAAAGGAAUGAAGGAUUGACACAUUACAAUAUGGAUGAAACUUGAGGGCAUUAUUCUAAGUGAAAGAAGCCAGACACUAAAGACCACAUAUUGUAUGAUUCCAUUUGUAUAUUAUAAAAAAUGUCAAGAAUAGGCAAAUCUACAGAGACAGAGAGUAGAUGAGUAGUUUCUUAGAGCCAGGGGAAGAGAUGGAAGGAUGGGGAGGUAUAGUUGAAGGCUGUUGAGUUUCCUUUUGGAGUGAUGAAAAUGUUCUGAAAUUGAUUGUGAUGAUUGCACAAAUCUGAAUACGUGAAAAACCACUGAAUUGUGCACUUUAAAAUGGGCAGAUUGUAUAAUAUGUGAAUUAUGUGUCAAUAAAGCUGUUACCAAAAAAAAAGAAAGAAGUAUUGCUUGAAUGAGUGGGUGAAUGAGGGGGAGCCAUUUUGUGUUUGCGUUGAGUGUAAACACAUCCAAGAGCCAAAUCUCAAGUCGCUGCCUCCCUGAGUGGGCCAGUGUGAAGGUUCCUUGCCUUCCUGGCUUCUUGCUGCCACGUACCCUCUGCUCAAGCACUUGCUUUCCAGCUUGCUUCCCUUGGCUCCUCACUGCCUUCCAGUCUCCCCUCUUC